rnacentral:lncRNA from 1 species
UGCCAUCAACCAAAAUACUAUUUUGCCUUUCACUAUUAUUUUCUCCAUCGACAUCUGCAUCUUUAUCACAUUGUUUCAAUAAUCCAUCUGCAGGCUCAGCAGAAGGAAGGGCCAGUACCUGAACACUUUCUUCCUCCUCAGUUACAGUAUCAUGUUUCAUAUCUUCGUUGCCUAAAUCUGUGCUAACCGAUACUUCAUAGCAGUCUUCCACGUUCUCACUGCUACCAAUGUCAUUAUUUUCAAUAACAUCAUUCUGGUUGUUAGAUCCUUCCUCAUCCCC